rnacentral:rRNA from 1 species
CGAAUCGUAAAGCUCUGUCCUAUGGGAAGAUAAUGACGGUACCAUAGGAGGAAGCCCCGGCUAACUACGUGCCAGCAGCCGCGGUAAUACGUAGGGGGCGAGCGUUGUCCGGAAUUACUGGGCGUAAAGGGUUCGCAGGCGGCAUGGCAAGUCCGAUGUAAAAGGCGAAGGCUCAACCUUCGUAAGCAUCGGAAACUGUCAAGCUUGAGUGAAGGAGAGGCAAGUGGAAUUCCUAGUGUAGCGGUGGAAUGCGUAGAUAUUAGGAGGAAUACCGGUGGCGAAGGCGACUUGCUGGACUUCAACUGACGCUGAGGAACGAAAGCGUGGGUAGCAAACAGGAUUAGAUACCCUGGUAGUCCACGCCGUAAACGAUGAGUGCUAGGUGUCGGGGGUCAAACCUCGGUGCCGCCGUUAACACAAUAAGCACUCCGCCUGGGGAGUACGUGCGCAAGCAUGAAACUCAAAGGAAUUGACGGGGACCCGCACAAGCAGCGGAGCAUGUGGUUUAACCUUACCAGGACUUGACAUACCAAGGAAAGUUUUUAGAGAUAAAAACCCUAGAUUUAUCUACCUUGGAUACAGGUGGUGCAUGGUUGUCGUCAGCUCGUGUCGUGAGAUGUUGGGUUAAGUCCCGCAACGAGCGCAACCCUUACAUUUAGUUACUAACAGGUAGUGCUGAGGACUCUAGAUGGACUGCCGAUGACAAAUCGGAGGAAGGUGGGGAUGACGUCAAAUCAUCAUGCCCUUUAUGUCCUGGGCUACACACGUGCUACAAUGGUCGGUACAAAGAGAAGCGAAAUAGCGAUAUCAAGCAAACCUCAAAAAACCGAUCCCAGUUCGGAUUGAUCUCUGCAACUCGAGAUCAUGAAGCCGGAGUUGCUAGUAAUCGCAGAUCAGAAUGCUGCGGUGAAUGCGUUCCCGGGUCUUGUACACACCGCCCGUCACACCAUGGGAGUAGGCAAUACCCGAAGCCUGUGAGCUAACCAUUUGGAGGCAGCAGUCGAAGGUAGGGUCAAUGACUGGGGUGAAGUCGUAACAAGGUAGCCGUAUCGGAAGGUGCGGCUG